rnacentral:rRNA from 1 species
AUAUACGCUCGUCUCAAAGGUUAAGCCAUGCAUGUCUAAGUACAAACCAAAAUAAGGUGAAACCGCAAAAGGCUCAGUAUAACAGCUGUAAUUUCUUGGAUCAUAUUCCCAGUUACUUGGAUAACUGUGGAAAAUCUAGAGCUAAUACAUGCAAACAAUACAAGUGACCGUCAAAAGUCUCUUGUGCAGUUAUUAGACAAACCAAUCGACCUUAACCGGUUGUUUCAUUUGGUGGAACUCUAGAUAACUUUGCUGAUCGUAUGGCCACUGUGCCGACGACAGAUCUUUCAAAUGUCUGCCCUAUCAACUAUUGAUGGUAGUAUAGAGGACUACCAUGGUUGCUACGGGUAACGGGGAAUCAGGGUUCGAUUCCGGAGAGGGAGCCUGAGAAAUGGCUACCACAUCUAAGGAAGGCAGCAGGCGCGUAAAUUACCCACUCCCGGCACGGGGAGGUAGUGACGAAAAAUAACAAUAUAGAACUAGUUAACUAUGUUCUGUAAUUGGAAUGAGUUAAUUAUAAAUCCUUUAACAAGGAUCUAGUGGAGGGCAAGUCUGGUGCCAGCAGCCGCGGUAAUUCCAGCUCCACUAGCGUAUAUUAAAAUUGUUGCGGUUAAAACGUUCGAAGUUGAUUAUUGUCCAGUACGGGUGCUGCACCAUCAAGUUAUGGUUGCAGUCAUUUCCGAUUACUUGGACUAUAUGACUGAACACUAUUAAUGAAUAGCGAGACGCCUUUAAUUAGGUUAUCGUCUAUUUAGUUCAGCUUACUAUUACCUUGAACAAAUUAAGGUGCUCAAAGCAGGCUUUAUAUGCCUUGAAUAUUUUUGCAUGGAAUAAUGGAAAAAGACCUCGGUCUUAUAUAUU